CCUACGGGUGGCAGCAGUGGGGAAUAUUGCACAAUGGGCGCAAGCCUGAUGCAGCCAUGCCGCGUGUGUGAAGAAGGCCUUCGGGUUGUAAAGCACUUUCAGCGGGGAGGAAGGCGUUAAGGUUAAUAACCUUGUCGAUUGACGUUACCCGCAGAAGAAGCACCGGCUAACUCCGUGCCAGCAGCCGCGGUAAUACGGAGGGUGCAAGCGUUAAUCGGAAUUACUGGGCGUAAAGCGCACGCAGGCGGUCUGUCAAGUCGGAUGUGAAAUCCCCGGGCUCAACCUGGGAACUGCAUUCGAAACUGGCAGGCUAGAGUCUUGUAGAGGGGGGUAGAAUUCCAGGUGUAGCGGUGAAAUGCGUAGAGAUCUGGAGGAAUACCGGUGGCGAAGGCAGCCCCCUGGACAAAGACUGACGCUCAGGUGCGAAAGCGUGGGGAGCAAACAGGAUUAGAUACCCGUGUAGUC
rnacentral:rRNA from 1 species